rnacentral:misc_RNA from 1 species
UCAAUGCGAAAGUCACUGUGCUUUUCUGUUAUGAUCUGGUUACUUUUGAAAUAAAAACUUUAAUUUUAUAUUUAGUGGCGAUUUUAUGUUGUACGUAAUUUUAAGUAAUGAAGCAGUAAAGCAAAAGGAAAUUCAUCUCUCUUCAUUAAUAAUUUCUAGUACAAAUUUAGUUCUUCUGAAGUUUAAAUGGCAUAUUGAUAUUUAAAGAUUAUCAUAUUUUUACAGCAUAUAGAGAAAAACAAUAUGAGGAAAGCCAGUAUUGAUUUUUGCUUCUAAAUAUAAUACCUCAUUCACUUAUUUUUACUAAUUGUAUAUCUGCAAUUGUCAUUAGUGGAAAAUGUCAUUGCCUGUAGCAUAUUCCAGCUUAACUGAGUUAUUAGAAUGUAGAAAUAAAUUGUUAAACUUGUUCUCAUUUUAUAAUGAAUUUAUAAUACUCUAUAUAUUUAUAAAUUGAUAAUUUUCAUGUAACUUUUAAAAAU